GCCUCGUUGGCUCAGUUGGUAGAGCGUUAGACUUUUAAUCUAACGGUCAGCNGAAGAUCUCAGUUAUUCACGACAUGCUGUUCGAGGCU
rnacentral:tRNA from 1 species